AACCUUUAGCUAACCAAGUAUUAAAGGCAACGCCUGCCCAGUGAACAAUUAAACGGCCGCGGUACCCUAACCGUGCAAAGGUAGCAUAAUCAUUUGUCUACUAAUUAUAGACCUGUAUGAAAGGCAAAAUGAGGGUUUAACUGUCUCUUAUAGUCAAUCUAUUAAACUGAUCCCCUAGUAAAAAAGCUAGGAUACCUACAUAAGACCAGAAGACCCUGUGAAGCUUAAACUAAACUAUUAAACCAUAUAAUAACUACUUUCGGUUGGGGCGACCUUGGAAAAAAAAAGAACUUCCAAAUACAUGACCUUCAUCAUACUAAACGGCACACAAGCCAACAAACGACCCAGCACAGCUGACCAAUGAACCAAGUUACUCCAGGGAUAACAGCGCAAUCCCCUUCAAGAGCCCAUAUCAAAAAGGGGGUUUACGACCUCGAUGUUGGAUCAGGACAUCCUAAUGGUGCAGUCGCUAUUAAGGGUUCGUUUGUUCAACGAUUAACAGUCCU
rnacentral:rRNA from 1 species